AGAGUUUGAUCCUGGCUCAGAUUGAACGCUGGCGGCAGGCCUAACACAUGCAAGUCGAGCGGUAGCACAAGAGAGCUUGCUCUCUGGGUGACGAGCGGCGGACGGGUGAGUAAUGUCUGGGAAACUGCCUGAUGGCGGGGGAUAACUAGUGGAAACGGUAGCUAAUACCGCAUAACGUCGCAAGACCAAAGUGGGGGACCUUCGGGCCUCACGCCAUCAGAUGUGCCCAGGUGGGAUUAGCUGGUAGGUGGGGUAACGGCUCACCUAGGCGACGAUCCCUAGCUGGUCUGAGAGGAUGACCAGCCACACUGGAACUGAGACACGGUCCAGACUCCUACGGGAGGCAGCAGUGGGGAAUAUUGCACAAUGGGCGCAAGCCUGAUGCAGCCAUGCCGCGUGUGUGAAGAAGGCCUUCGGGUUGUAAAGCACUUUCAGCGAGGAGGAAGGGUAAUGUGUUAAUAAGACAUUGCAUUGACGUUACUCGCAGAAGAAGCACCGGCUAACUCCGUGCCAGCAGCCGCGGUAAUACGGAGGGUGCAAGCGUUAAUCGGAAUUACUGGGCGUAAAGCGCACGCAGGCGGUUUGUUAAGUCAGAUGUGAAAUCCCCGCGCUCAACGUGGGAACGGCAUUUGAGACUGGCAAGCUAGAGUCUUGUAGAGGGGGGUAGAAUUCCAGGUGUAGCGGUGAAAUGCGUAGAGAUCUGGAGGAAUACCGGUGGCGAAGGCGGCCCCCUGGACAAAGACUGACGCUCAGGUGCGAAAGCGUGGGGAGCAAACAGGAUUAGAUACCCUGGUAGUCCACGCUGUAAACGAUGUCGAUUUGGAGGUUGCGCCCUUGAGGGGUGGCUUCCGUAGCUAACGCGUUAAAUCGACCGCCUGGGGAGUACGGCCGCAAGGUUAAAACUCAAAUGAAUUGACGGGGGCCCGCACAAGCGGUGGAGCAUGUGGUUUAAUUCUAUGCAACGCGAAGAACCUUACCUACUCUUGACAUCCAGAGAACUUUCCGAAGAUGGAAGGGUGCCUUCGUGAAGCCUUGAUAAGUGCUGUGUGGUUCAGUGUUCGGUCUACUGGUGAGACAUGAGUGUGGAGUGCCUGUGAUCUGGUGUUA
rnacentral:rRNA from 2 species